rnacentral:rRNA from 1 species
GACGAACGCUGGCGGCGUGCUUAACACAUGCAAGUCGAACGGAAAGGCCCUGCUUUUGUGGGGUGCUCGAGUGGCGAACGGGUGAGUAACACGUGAGUAACCUGCCCUUGACUUUGGGAUAACUUCAGGAAACUGGGGCUAAUACCGGAUAGGAGCUCCUGCUGCAUGGUGGGGGUUGGAAAGUUUCGGCGGUUGGGGAUGGACUCGCGGCUUAUCAGCUUGUUGGUGGGGUAGUGGCUUACCAAGGCUUUGACGGGUAGCCGGCCUGAGAGGGUGACCGGCCACAUUGGGACUGAGAUACGGCCCAGACUCCUACGGGAGGCAGCAGGGGGGAAUAUUGCACAAUGGGCGGAAGCCUGAUGCAGCAACGCCGCGUGCGGGAUGACGGCCUUCGGGUUGUAAACCGCUUUCGCCUGUGACGAAGCGGGAGUGACGGUAAUGGGUAAAGAAGCACCGGCUAACUACGUG